UACGGGGGGAGCAAGCGUUGUUCGGAUUUACUGGGCGUAAAGGGCGCGUAGGCGGCCACCGCAAGUCGACUGUGAAAUCUCCGGGCUUAACCCGGAAAGGUCAGCCGAUACUGCGGGGCUAGAGUGCAGAAGGGGCAACUGGAAUUCUCGGUGUAGCGGUGAAAUGCGUAGAUAUCAAGAGGAACACCUGCGGCGAAGGCGGGUUGCUGGGCCGACACGUGACGCUGAGGCGCGAAAGCCAGGGGAGCGAACGGGA
rnacentral:rRNA from 1 species